rnacentral:rRNA from 1 species
UACGUAGGGUGCAAGCGUUGUCCGGAAUUAUUGGGCGUAAAGAGCUCGUAGGCGGUUUGUCGCGUCGGCUGUGAAAACUGGAGGCUUAACCUUCAGCGUGCAGUCGAUACGGGCAGACUUGAGUUCGGUAGGGGAGACUGGAAUUCCUGGUGUAGCGGUGAAAUGCGCAGAUAUCAGGAAGAACACCAAUGGCGAAGGCAGCUCUCUGGGACGGUACUGACGCUGAGACGCGAAAGCGUGGGGAGCGAACAGG